rnacentral:snRNA from 1 species
CAGAUUUAUAAAUUAUAGCAGAU